GGUAAAGAGAAUGCUAUAAACAGUAAGAGAAACAAAUAGACAAAGAAAAAUACAUGCCACGGACCAUCUGAAUGAAGCUCAUGGACUGCUGGUGAUCCACUGACCACAAUUUGGGAACUCCUGCUCUAUGAAACAGAAAACUCGGGUGAAAUUGAUCCCUGGUCUUUUUCAGGAGGGAAAAAUUGGAGAUGUUCAGAUGAGAAAACAUGGCUACAUUUAACAUUCCACCCACCCAGAUGGCUCUCGCCUACAUAGCAAGCACAGAAGGCAGAAAAUGGGAGGAAACCUAAGGAGGAGGGAGAUGGAAUUUGGCAAGUGGAUGGCUAUCUGCCGGUAUUUUCACUUCCACUUAAAUGGAUCCUGGUACUGUAAGAGAUUUAACAACUCCGGUGUCCACCGAAAAUGUAAUGUGUGAAUGCAGUGACAACAACAAAAUCAGGCCUGCAAACACCCUACAAGUUCACUCCUCGGAGCUGGAUGUGGCUGUGAGGUCCCUGCACUCGGAUGCAUGUGAAAAUCACCUUUGGUAGGCCUAGAUUAUGGGAAAGUCUCUUCACUUUGAACAGGACAGAGGGAGGGAAACGGAAACUCAUGCACACAUCCUGUAUAUGCCUGAGUGGUCGAGGUUGGGAUUGUGGGAGUCCUGCGGGUUCCUAACAACUCCUCCCUGAAAUAUGACAUCCUGGAUUCUCUUUCUCUUUUCUCUCCCCCGGCUCCUCCCCUGCCCUGAGACAAAAAGAGCAAAAAGGCCACCGUCGCCAGGAAACAAAACGGAGCUGAACGAUGUCCCUCCCCUCCCAUGCCGCCCUCCCCAUCUAUCCAUGUGACCUGAAGAGACCCAUCUGCAAACAAGCCGGCAGAGAUAUGGGCAAAGCGGCUGCCAAAUUAGCCGCAGCCUCCCUGUUUCCUCCCAGCUUUAACCCUUUCUUGCCAAUGCUGCUUCUUCACAGGAAAGGUUUCACUGGGCGUCUUGUAAUCGGAGAAAGGGCCACAGUUCAGUGGCAGAGCCUCUUUGCUCUUUGCCCUCAAGUCCUGCUUGCGGGCUUCCCAUGGGCAACUGGUUGGCCAUUGUGAGAACAGGAUGCUGGACUAGAUGAGCCACUGGCCCGAUCCAGCAGGGCUCUUGUUAUGGUCUUGGCAUCUGCCUUGCAUGCAGAAGGUCUUAAGUUUAUUCCCUGGCAUCUCCAGGUAGGGCUGGGAGAGACUCCUGCCUGAAACCUUGGAUAGCUGCUGCCGGGCAGUGUAGACGAUAUUGAGCUGGAUGGACCAAUAUGGUCUGACUCCGCAUAAGGCAGUUUCGUAUGUUCCAGGCGAUCCCCCCACCCCAGGGACUUUCCCCAAGCACUUUUGUGAACGUUCUUCAGCAUGCAGCAGGAUUGCUCCUCGGGGACGCAAGGUGCAGGUACUGAGAUUUCAUUCCGCCACAUACUGGGUCCCAUACGUGGGAUGCUUGGAAGGCUGCUUUGCUAUAGUGACAUUGCUUGGGAAACGGUGGCUACCACAGCAGCGUAAAUUAGCCCUUGUUUGUAUACAGCAUUGAUAACCAGGGCUGUCCAUGACAUUCCACAGAUGUGUAAGGAAAGUGAUAAACAUAGCACUGGGAGAGAAUUCAGGCUAUAGGAAUGACAUAUCCUGGGAUGUAGCAUUCCAAUACAACAGGAACAAAGGCCAUUUGUCAAUAAACUUAAAGGUAAAGGUGUCCCCGCACUUGUAGUGCAAG